rnacentral:rRNA from 1 species
GCGGCAACAGCUCAAAUUUGAAAUCUGGCCUUCCGGUCCGAGUUGUAAUUUGCAGAGGAUGCUUCGGGCGCGGUGCCUUCCAAGUCCCCUGGAACGGGGCGCCGGAGAGGGUGAGAGCCCCGUACGGUUGGCGGCCAAGCCUGUGUGAAGCUCCUUCGACGAGUCGAGUAGUUUGGGAAUGCUGCUCUAAGCGGGAGGUAGACCCCUUCUAAAGCUAAAUACCGGCCAGAGACCGAUAGCGCACAAGUAGAGUGAUCGAAAGAUGAAAAGCACUUUGAAAAGAGGGUUAAACAGCACGUGAAAUUGUUGAAAGGGAAGCGCUUGCGACCAGACGUGCGCCGGGGUGCUCAGCGGGCGUUCUCGCCCGUGCACUCGCCCCGGCGCAGGCCAGCGUCGGUUUGGGCGGGGGGAUAAAGGCGUCUGGAAUGUGGCUCCCCCGGGAGUGUUAUAGCCAGGCGUGCCAUGCCUCCGCCCGGACCGAGGUACGCGUUCUGCAAGGACGCUGGCGUAAUGGUCCCCAGCGACCCGUCUUGAAACACGGACCAAGGAGUCGAGGUUUUGCGCGAGUGUUUGGGUGGAAAACCCGCACGCGUAAUGAAAGUGAACGUAGGUGAGAGCUUCGGCGCAUCACCGACCGAUCCUGAUGUUUUCGGAUGGAUUUGAGUAAGAGCGUA